UACGUAGGGUGCAAGCGUUGUCCGGAAUUAUUGGGCGUAAAGAGCGUGUAGGCGGCCCGAUUAGUCCGCUGUGAAAGUCCAGGGCUCAACCCUGGAAUGCCGGUGGAUACUGUCGGGCUAGAGUCCGGAAGGGGCGAGUGGAAUUCCUGGUGUAGCGGUGAAAUGCGCAGAUAUCAGGAGGAACACCAAUGGCGAAGGCAGCUCGCUGGGACGUGACUGACGCUGAGGUGCGAAAGCGUGGGGAGCGAACAGG
rnacentral:rRNA from 1 species